rnacentral:rRNA from 1 species
GACGAACGCUGGCGGCGUGCUUAACACAUGCAAGUCGAACGGAAAGGCCCUGCUUUUGUGGGGUGCUCGAGUGGCGAACGGGUGAGUAACACGUGAGUAACCUGACCUUGACUUUGGGAUAGCUUCAGGAAACUGGGGCUAAUACCGGAUAGGAGCUCCUGCUGCAUGGUGGGGGUUGGAAAGUUUCGGCGGUUGGGGAUGGAUUCGCGGCUUAUCAGCUUGUUGGUGGGGUAGUGGCGUACCAAGGCUUUGACGGGUAGCCGGCCUGAGAGGGUGAACGGCCACAUUGGGACUGAGAUACGGCCCAGACGCCUACGGGAGGCAGCAGUGGGGAAUAUUGCACAAUGGGCGGAAGCCUGAUGCAGCAACGCCGCGUGCGGGAUGACGGCCUUCGGGUUGUAAACCGCUUUCGCCUGCGACGAAGCGUGAGUGACGGUAAUGGGUAAAGAAGCACCGGCUAACUACGUG